rnacentral:rRNA from 1 species
CCUACGGGAGACAGCAGUCGGGAAUAUUGCACAAUGGAGGAAACUCUGAUGCAGUGACGCCGCGUGCAGGAAGAAGGUUUUCGGAUUGUAAACUGCUUUAGAUGGGGAAGAAAAAAGACUGUACCCAUAGAAUAAGCUCCGGCUAACUACGUGCCAGCAGCCGCGGUAAUACGUAGGGAGCAAGCGUUAUCCGGAUUUACUGGGUGUAAAGGGAGCGUAGACGGCAGCGCAAGUCUGAAGUGAAAUGCCGGGGCUUAACCCCGGAACUGCUUUGGAAACUGUGCAGCUAGAGGGCAGGAGAGGUA